UGGCCAAACAAAGCAGAAAAAUGUCAAUCAUGGAGGCUGCAACAGCUUGAAGAGUUGGACAGUCCAGUCUGGACUGGGCAGUGGACAAAGCAGAAGCUUCUUUCUUGGAAAGAAGAUGACAAGACACAACAAGACUACCAGGACCAAAAGCCACAAUUUCAGACACUGAUCAUCCUGCCACAUCUUAAGUACAGUUAG
rnacentral:lncRNA from 3 species